rnacentral:rRNA from 1 species
UACGAAGGGGGCUAGCGUUGUUCGGAAUUACUGGGCGUAAAGGGCGCGUAGGCGGCGUGUCAAGUCAGGCGUGAAAGCCCCGGGCUCAACCUGGGAACCGCGCUUGAGACUGGCAUGCUCGAGUUCGGGAGAGGAUGGUGGAAUUCCCAGUGUAGAGGUGAAAUUCGUAGAUAUUGGGAAGAACACCGAUGGCGAAGGCAGCCAUCUGGACCGACACUGACGCUGAGGCGUGAAAGCGUGGGGAGCAAACAGG